CUCCUGAGUAGCUGGGACUACAGGCACACGCUGCCACGCCCGGCUAAUUUUUUCUAUUUUAGUAGAGACAGGGUUUCACCGUGUUGCCCAGGCCGGUCUCGAACUCCUGAGCUCAGGUAAUCUGCCCACCUCGGCCUCCCAAAGUGGCCUGUUCACUCUUUUUAGAAAUAUUAUUGAAAUGCUAAGCUUCCCGGACUGGUCCUCUAAUUUUAUCUUUUCACCCCUAUUUUCCAUUUCCUUGUCCUUUUGCUUCACUUUACAAGUGUUUUCCUUCAUUUUACCUUCUAAUCCUCCAGCCAAAGUUUUCAUUAUGGUUAUCCUAUUUUUAAUUUCCAAAAACUUCCUCUUCUAUAGUAUCCUUUUCUUAUUUUAUGGAUGUAAUAUCUCUUAACUCUCUGAAGGUAAUAUUAAUGGUUCUUUCAAAAUAAUUUUUUUUUUUUGAGACAGAGUCUCACUUUCGCCCAGGUUGGAGUGCAAUGGCACGAUCCUGGCUCACUGCAACCUCUGCCUCCCGGGUUCAAGCGACUGUCCUGCCUCAGCCUCCCGAGUAGCUGGGUUUACAGGCUUGCGCCACCAUGCCCAGCUAAUUUUGUAUAUUUAGUAGAGACAGGGUUUCACCAUGUUAGCCAGGCCGAUCUCGAACUCCCGACCUCAGGUAAUCCGCCCGCCUUGGUCUCUCAAAGUGCUGGGAUUACAGGUGUGAGCCAUCGCACCCAGCCCCAAAAUAAUGUUUUUCAGACGUGUCCUUCCUGCACAGUCUCUGCUUCUUCCAAGUUCUUUUCCACUUGUGUUUAGAUGGCUUUCUCAAAUGUCUGGCAAUCCUUGUCUAACUGCUUAUAUUUAAGAGUCAGACAUUGAAAAGCUGUUCGGAACAGAGUUGUCUAUAAGUGAGCCUCACUGACUGGCGUCUUUACUGUAAGGUGAUGGGCAGGGCUAUUUCCCUGGGGACUCUCAAUCUCAGUAUCUUUAGAAGGCUUUUCUCUUGAACAGGUCGAAUUCUCCUGAGAAGAUUUCCAAACUCCCACCUCAAAGCUCAAUGCUUGGCUGCCAGUGUUCUGGGAACCAAAUAGGAAAAGAAGACUUGGGUACCCCCAAGUCCUGUGCCUCUUUGGGAUUCCGUGAUCUAAGCCAGUUGCCUCUGUUUUCUCCCUGAAUGGCUUAUGAUUCAGCUUUCUUAGGUCUGCUAAGGUAAUUACCGCUAAUCCACCUACUCUAACCUACAAAAUGUUGUUGCCAUUUCCUUUCCCUUUCUGGUCCCUAUGGGCUUAUGACUUUUUAAAAAAUACCUUUACGAUUGUUUAGCAAGUUUCAGGAGAGAACACCAGCAAACAUGGCUGUUCAAAGAGUCACCUUUAACAAAAAACUCUAUACUUUUUAAUGGGGUAAAAUAAUUGAUAACACAGCCAAAGAUAUUGGUAGUCCUUUUCAGAAAUAUUUACAUACUUCUGCAAAUAUUUAAGUUGUUAGUAUACUUUUUAAAAAGACAUAUUUAUAUUAUUUAUGUUAUGCUAUGAUACAUUAAUUUUAAAAGCAAUAUAACUCCAAAGUAGAUUUCUCAAUGUCAAAAGCUACCCAAACUGUCUCAAGUGUUCAUUGCUGCAUAAUUUCUUCAGCAUUUAUGCAUAGUAGACAUCUGGAUGUUCAUUUUUGCUCAUGAAAUUUUAAU
rnacentral:lncRNA from 10 species